rnacentral:rRNA from 1 species
GACAGAGGUUGCAAACGUUGUUCGGAAUCACUGGGCAUAAAGCGCACGUAGGCGGCUGACUAAGUCAGAUGUGAAAUCCCUCGGCUCAACCGGGGAACUGCGUCUGAUACUGGUCGGCUUGAGAACGGUAGGGGUGAGCGGAACUCCAGGUGGAGCGGUGAAAUGCGUAGAUAUCUGGAGGAACACCGGUGGCGAAAGCGGCUCACUGGACCGUCACUGACGCUGAGGUGCGAAAGCUAGGGUAGCAAACGGG